UACGGAGGGUGCAAGCGUUAUCCGGAUUCACUGGGUUUAAAGGGUGCGUAGGCGGGUUGGUAAGUCCGUGGUGAAAUCUCCAAGCUUAACUUGGAAACUGCCGUGGAUACUAUCAAUCUUGAAUAUCGUGGAGGUAAGCGGAAUAUGUCAUGUAGCGGUGAAAUGCUUAGAUAUGACAUAGAACACCCAUUGCGAAGGCAGCUUGCUACACAAUGAUUGACGCUGAGGCACGAAAGCGUGGGGAUCAAACAGG
rnacentral:rRNA from 1 species